GAUGAAGAACGUAGCGAAAUGCGAUACUUGGUGUGAAUUGCAGAAUCCCGCGAAUCAUCGAGUUUUUGAACGCAAGUUGCGCCCGAAGCCAUUCGGCCGAGGGCACGUCUGCCUGGGUGUCACGCAUCGUUGCCCCCCCAAACUCCGGUUCGGGCGGGGCGGAAGUUGGCCUCCCGUGCGUGCCUGCGCGCGCGGUUAGCCCAAAAGCGAGUCCUCGGCGACGAGCGCCACGACAAUCGGUGGUUUUUUUACCCUCGUUCUUCGUCGUGCGUGCCCCGUCGCCCGAACGCGCUCUUGCGACCCUUACGCGUCGCCUCGGCGGCGCUCCCAACGCGACCCCAGGUCAGGCGGGACUACCCGCUGAGUUUAAGCAUAUCAAUAAGCGGAGGA
rnacentral:misc_RNA from 1 species